rnacentral:rRNA from 1 species
UAGGGAAUCUUCGGCAAUGGGGGCAACCCUGACCGAGCAACGCCGCGUGAGUGAAGAAGGUUUUCGGAUCGUAAAGCUCUGUUGUAAGAGAAGAACGUGUGUGAGAGUGGAAAGUUCACACAGUGACGUUAACUUACCAGAAAGGGACGGCUAACUACGUGCCAGCAGCCGCGGUAAUACGUAGGUCCCGAGCGUUGUCCGGAUUUAUUGGGCGUAAAGCGAGCGCAGGCGGUUGAAUUAGUCUGAAGUUAAAGGCAGUGGCUUAACCAUUGUUAGUUUUGGAAACUGUAAAACUUGAGUGCAGAAGGGGAGAGUGGAAUUCAGUGUGUAGCGGUGAAAUGCAUAGAAAUAUGGAGGAAAACCGGUGGAGAAAGCGGCUCUCUGGUCUGUACCUGACGCUGAGGCUCGAAAGCGUGGGGAGCAGACAGG